CAGUAACUUCAUAUACACAGUCACUACUCAGUCAUAUCUCAUAACUGAGUUUAAUAAUUAGGGUUUCACAGCACGGUAAUAUGCUAUGACCUAAUUGACAGUCAUUGCUCAAUAUUAUCUGUCCGCACAUAUACAGUACAUAAUUAUUGUACUGUAAAAUCAUUAUAACAAUAAUAUAAUAUUAUUAUUUUCAUCUCUUGAUCACAAUCCCAAUUCAGGGUUUGGAUCUCAUAUCUGACUUCUCUUUCUUACACAGCAUCAAUAAUCAAGUUAAAAUAAUUAACUUAAAUAUUCUG
rnacentral:lncRNA from 1 species